rnacentral:rRNA from 1 species
GACGAACGCUGGCGGCGUGCUUAACACAUGCAAGUCGAACGGAAAGGCCCUGCUUUUGUGGGGUGCUCGAGUGGCGAACGGGUGAGUAACACGUGAGUAACCUGCCCUUGACUUUGGGAUAACUUCAGGAAACUGGGGCUAAUACCGGAUAGGAGCUCCUGCUGCAUGGUGGGGGUUGGAAAGUUUCGGCGGUUGGGGAUGGACUCGCGGCUUAUCAGCUUGUUGGUGGGGUAGUGGCUUACCAAGGCUUUGACGGGUAGCCGGCCUGAGAGGGUGACCGGCCACAUUGGGGCUGAGAAACGGCCCAGACUCCUACGGGGGGCAGGAGUGGGGAAUAUUGCACAAUGGGCGGAAGCCUGAUGGAGCAACGCCGCGUGCGGGAUGACGGCCUUCGGGUUGUAAACCGCUUUCGCCUGUGACGAAGCGUGAGUGACGGUAAUGGGGAAAGAAGCACCGGCUAACUACGU